AUACGGAGGGUGCAAGCGUUAUUCGGAAUCACUGGGCGUAAAGGACGCGUAGGCGGGUUGGCAAGUCAGAUGUGAAAUCCUACAGCUUAACUGUAGAACUGCAUUUGAAACUGCUAACCUAGAGUAUGGGAGGGGGAGAUGGAAUUAGUGGUGCAGGGGUAAAAUCCGUAGAUAUCACUAGGAAUACCGAAAGCGAAGGCGAUCUCCUGGAACAUAACUGACGCUAAGGCGUGAAAGCGUGGGGAGCAAACAGGAUUAGAAACCCUAGUAGUCC
rnacentral:rRNA from 1 species